GACGAACGCUGGCGGCGUGCCUAAUACAUGCAAGUCGAGCGAAUCGAUGGGAGCUUGCUCCCUGAGAUUAGCGGCGGACGGGUGAGUAACACGUGGGUAACCUGCCUGUAAGACUGGGAUAACUUCGGGAAACCGGAGCUAAUACCGGAUACUUUCUUUUCUCGCAUGAGGGAAGAUGGAAAGAUGGUUCUGCUAUCACUUACAGAUGGACCCGCGGCGCAUUAGCUAGUUGGUGAGGUAACGGCUCACCAAGGCAACGAUGCGUAGCCGACCUGAGAGGGUGAUCGGCCACACUGGGACUGAGACACGGCCCAGACUCCUACGGGAGGCAGCAGUAGGGAAUCUUCCGCAAUGGACGAAAGUCUGACGGAGCAACGCCGCGUGAGCGAAGAAGGCCUUCGGGUCGUAAAGCUCUGUUGUUAGGGAAGAACAAGUACGAGAGUAACUGCUCGUACCUUGACGGUACCUAACCAGAAAGCCACGGCUAACUACGUGCCAGCCGCCGCGGUAA
rnacentral:rRNA from 1 species